rnacentral:sRNA from 1 species
CGGACAGCCUUGAAGACUCAAGCCCUCAAUUUGUUUAUCCGCAGAGCAAAUGAAGCGGGAAGAGAGGCAAAGCCCAAUAUCCCGCACUGCACUUCCUCUGCCUGUCACACUGCUGACCUAGAGAGACCUUCGCUGGUCGGCUGGGAUGGUUGUGCAAUCUUCAGACUCAUUCAAACUUCAACCAGA